AUAUAAAGAUAUGGAAAUGCUUUUUGAUAUCUUUUUGAUAUUCUUAAUGAUUUUUUAAAAAAAAAAUCUAAGCACAGAGGAUGUGUCUUGUUAUGAAAAUGCUGAAUGGUGGAAUGGAGAAAGGUAAUAUAGUAUGAAGUCACUCUAAACAGAGCUAAUGAUACUGAAUAGUGAUUCUCAGCCUGUGGCUCAUGACCCCUUUGGGGUUGAGCAGUCCUUUCACAGGAGUCACCUACCAGCUGUUUACGUUAUGAUUCAUAACAGUAGAGGUCAGAGGCCACUACUACAUGAGGAAUAUAUUAAAGGGCCACAACAUCAAGAAGGUUGAGACCCCUACAUAGAAUCUUAUGAAUACCACAUAAAUAAGGUAAGACCAGGAGUCCAGUUUGAUGGUGUUGUGUCCUCACAGUCAUUUCCACAAUUGUUCUGAAUGUGCCCUAAGCAGAUUAGACAUAGAUCCUCUUGUCAUUAAAUUGACUUUUUUGGGGGUGGUGGGUGUACGUGUGUCUAUAGCUGUCACCAAAUCUAUACCAGCACUGUAAUUUGUAAAAACACUAACCAGCAGUCUGGAUUUUACUGAUUAAAGAAAAAAUCCAGGGGGUGGAGAGAUGGCUCAGCCAUUAAAGGCUAGGCUCACCACCACCAAAAUCCAGGGGAAAGAAUUCCUAUUUCAGCACAUAUAUUAUGAACCAAUCUGUUACCACAGGGAAAAAGAAUGGACACCUUUUCAAAAUUGGUUUCAGGUGUUGCUACUAGGGACUUAACACACCAAGAAGGUAUGAGAUACUUUGUUACAUACAUAAGCAGUCCUGGAGAAAGCAGAACGGGCAUUCCAAACAAAUCUGACAUGGAUCAAGAAAAGCAAGAAAGGAGUACCUAGGCUUUCCCCUCACCUUGUCCAGAUGUGAAGACAACUAAUAGAACAGGGAAAACUCAAAUGUAGAUACUCAGAAGUAAAAAAAAAAAAAAAACAAAAAAAAAACAAAAAAAAAACAAACUAGUGGUCUCCAUUUUUCUGAGCAGUCUCAUUUCCAUUUCCAUAGGUUCCUCUAAGUGACGACAGAUGGAAAAAGGAUUCACUCAUUCAUAGAAUUCCAAACCAGAAACUGACCGUUCAACAGGAUCAAGUUCAUGGAAUCAAAGGAUUUUUUUUUUUGCUGGAAAUAUUUGGUAAAAAUGAAAACUUGAUAUAUAGAUACUUCAGAAAAUGAAAAUAAGGGCUAGAGAAAUGACUCAGCAAUUGAGAGCCCUUACUGCUUUUUCAGAGGAUCUGAGUUUGGUUCCUUGUUUCCCCUUGCCAGGUGCUCACAAAUACCUGUAUCGAUAGCUCCAGGGUAUCCAACACCUUUGGCCUCCACAAGCAUCUGAACUCAUUUGUACACUCACACAAACACACACAUACACACUUAAAAACAAUAUUUUUUAAAAUAAUGAAAAAUAUCCACUGAUCAAAUUUUGGAAAUAUGUUAUAUAAUUUGUCACAUAAAAUGAAGGCAAUAAUCUAAUACGAUACUGUUGGCUUACUGCACUUAAAACUAGAACUCAAAGUAAAAUGCAAAGAGAUUAUAGAUUUUCUUAUUGUGUCACAUAGAAUCAAAUCAGCAAACUCUAAUUUCAGCAAGUUCUAUGUAUGGAAAAACAUGUACUACAAUAUAGCCAGUGUCAUGAUUGUAGCAUAUCAAAAUUGCUGUCAAUACACCAACAUGAUGACUAUUGAAAGAAAAAUAUGUGUCACUGCUCAUAAAAAUAAGCAUAAUUCAGUGAUAAAACCGUGCUAUAAUAAUGUAAAGCUGAUCGUAACAGCCAUGGUUCCUAAUAAAUGAUAUCUAAAAUCUUAAAUCUUAAUCAGUUUUUUGCAUAGUGGGCAGUAUAUCAGUUUUAUAAAAUGCUAAAUUUUCAUACAGUAUGAUCCUCCAACAUUGCUUGUCAAUGUUCUGAAUUCUUAAUACAUCAGAUACUGUUAACUUGUGAAAACUUGUUCUAAGCUGCUCUUUAGUAGUUAUUUUCAAGUGAUUCAGAGUUCAGCAUGAAAUUGUCUGGUACUCUAAUUCAUUUGGAAAGACUGGACUAUAUUUCAUUUGAUUACCCUUAUUAUUUUAGACUCUGCUUUAAUUUUUGCUGAUUAUUGUCUUACAAUUUGCUGAUAAUUGUCUCUUAUUAUGUUUAGUACAAUGCUAGAAAUAAUAUGCUUUUAAUGUACUAACACAUUUUCUAUAAUCUAGUAUUUGGUAAAAAAAAAAUGUAAAUGCUGCCUAGAUGCUGGCUAGGAAACUUAGUUCAAUUUUAAAUCUAAAAGCAUUUAAAAUUUUUUUUAUUUAUUUACUUUAUGUGCAUAGAUGCUUUGUUUGCAUGUGUGUCUGUGCAUUCUGUGAAGGCCAGAAGAGGGCACUGGUUUUGCUGGAACUAGAGUUACAGAAGAUUGUGACCCUCCAUGUGGGUGCUGUGACUCAACUCAGUCCUCUGGAAGAGCAUCUGGUGGUCUUAACAACUGAGCCAGCCCUCCAGCCCGAAAGGCACGAUAUACUUUUAAGCCAACUUUUAACUUUGUGUUAUUUAGAUUCUAGUGCUUCUGACUUGGAUCGGAAGCAGCAUAUCAGAGUAAUCUGGGGGAUAGAUGCCCAGUUCACCUCUCAUUCCAUAGAUUCCCAUUCUGAUACAGUGGUCCUCACGAGAUUCUAGCUUCUCCUAUUUUUGUUAAGAACAGUACUCCCCUUGCCCUGGACACAGUGAUGACUAUUAGCAGCUUCUAACUUA
rnacentral:lncRNA from 1 species